rnacentral:tRNA from 1 species
GUUGGUGUGGCAUAGUGGCUGUGCCCCAGUACUGAUAAUGCUGGGUACGCUGGUUCGAUUCCAGCCGCCAACU